rnacentral:lncRNA from 1 species
CCAAGUCAACAUCUAGUCUCUCCAAAUGGAAAUUUUCAUUAGAGGCCAUUGGCAGCCCUAGUUAGGCUGAGUUUCAACUUUUCCAAGUCUCCUGGUAAUGUAAACCUGAAACUCAGCAUAUCUAUUGCCUAAUAAAGGGCUGUCCCCCUUGCAUUUACCAACACUUGAACAUGUGCACACUGUCUUUCUCUGUCUUUCACACACCCAGCUGCCCCAGCUCCCCCACUAGCAAAAUACACAUUUCCCAUGGGAACUGGAUGAACUGAAGCAGUCCUCUUCUUUUCUUGAUCACUCUCUCUCCUUCCAUAUCCCCACGUUAACAAUAAUCUUCCAUCAGCAGAUUAUUACUUGAAAAAUAUUUCCAUAGGUGUCAACUCAUCUAACUUGACCAAUAAACUUCAGAGAGAUGAAACUGAGCUGGUGAGCCAGGUUGGGGUCAAGGCAUCACUGGGUAUCAGCCAGCAUGGACAAGCCCACUGCCUGCAAGUAUUGCUGAACAUGGAGAAGAGGAGGAAGGGACUCUCCUCCUGCAAGAAGAAGAGGAUGGAGGCCCAUGAAGACCCUGGAAGCCGGGCUCUGAGGACAGCCUAGUGGUUACCAGUGGACCAGCAUCUGAAGAAUGAGUGCCCUUCAAAAGUUUUCCCCAAAGCAAAGGUUUUCUAGGGCAGAGAUGAUCCCGAGGAGCCUGGGGGAGUGAUGGAGCUCUGAGAGCACUCCGAUUUGCAUGCAGUUCAGGGAAGUGAGAAGCUGUUUAAAGGCAAAGAUUUUAGCUGCACUGGGAGCUUUGGCCUUUUCAGUGGAAAGACCCAAGAGACUGCCUGUCAAAACAGAAGUCUCUUGCUAAAACUACCUAGCUUAGACAGCAUGAGUAGUCAGGAGAGGCUGGAAGCAGAGGAAGGGGGAGGCAGAGGGAGGUCAGCUUUCCACAAUCGGAGUCGGGGUAAUGUGCAGAGAAAAGGAAGGGGGAUUAGGGCACAUGAGGAGGAAUAAAGGAAUAGAUGCAUGGCUGUGCA